rnacentral:rRNA from 1 species
GACGAACGCUGGCGGCGUGCCUAACACAUGCAAGUCGAACGGAAAGGCCCUGCUUUUGUGGGGUGCUCGAGUGGCGAACGGGUGAGUAACACGUGAGUAACCUGCCCCUGACUUUGGGAUAACUUCAGGAAACUGGGUCUAUUACCGGAUAGGAGCUCUUGCUGCAUGGUGGGGGUUGGUAAGUUUCGGCGGUUGGGGAUGGACUCGCGGCUUAUCAGCUUGUUGGUGGGGUAGUGGCUUACCAAGGCUUUGACGGGUAGCCGGCCUGAGAGGGUGACCGGCCACAUUGGGACUGAGAUACGGCCCAGGCUCCUACGGGAGGCAGCAGUGGGAAAUAUUACGCAGUGGGCGGGAGCCAGAGGCAGCAACGCCGCGUGCGGGAUAACGGCCUUCGGGUUAUGAACCGCUUUCGCCUGUAACGAGGCGUGAGUGACGGUAAUGGGUAAAAAAGCACCGGCUAACUACGUG